CUACGGGUGGCUCCAGUGAGGAAUUUUGCGCAAUGGGGGAAACCCUGACGCAGCAACGCCGCGUGAGUGAAGAAGGCUUUCGGGUCGUAAAGCUCUGUCAGAUAGGAAAAAAGUUCAUAUGUAAAUAGCUUAUGAAUCUGAUGGUACUAUCAGAGGAAGCACCGGCUAACUCCGUGCCAGCAGCCGCGGUAAUACGGAGGAUGCAAGCGUUGUUCGGAAUUACUGGGCGUAAAGGGCGUGUAGGCGGUAUGGUAAGUCAGAUGUGAAAGCCCUGGGCUUAACUCAGGAAGUGCAUUUGAUACUGCCAUCCUUGAGUAUUGGAGAGGAGAGUAGAAUUCCCAGUGUAGAGGUGAAAUUCGUAGAUAGUGGGAGGAAUACCCGUGGCGAAGGCGACUCUCUGGACCAAUACUGACGCUGAGACGCGAAAGCGUGGGGAGCAAACAGGAUUAGAUACCCCUGUAGUC
rnacentral:rRNA from 1 species